AUGCACGCUGGCGGCGUGCCUAAUACAUGCACGUCGAGCGAACAGAUGAGGAGCUUGCUCCUCUGACGUUAGCGGCGGACGGGUGAGUAACACGUGGAUAACCUACCUAUAAGACUGGGAUAACUUCGGGAAACCGGAGCUAAUACCGGAUAAUAUAUUGAACCGCAUGGUUCAAUAGUGAAAGACGGUUUUGCUGUCACUUAUAGAUGGAUCCGCGCCGCAUUAGCUAGUUGGUAAGGUAACGGCUUACCAAGGCAACGAUGCGUAGCCGACCUGAGAGGGUGAUCGGCCACACUGGAACUGAGACACGGUCCAGACUCCUACGGGAGGCAGCAGUAGGGAAUCUUCCGCAAUGGGCGAAAGCCUGACGGAGCAACGCCGCGUGAGUGAUGAAGGUCUUCGGAUCGUAAAACUCUGUUAUUAGGGAAGAACAAAUGUGUAAGUAACUAUGCACGUCUUGACGGUACCUAAUCAGAAAGCCACGGCUAACUACGUG
rnacentral:rRNA from 1 species